UACAGAGGUGGCAAGCGUUGUUCGGAAUUACUGGGCGUAAAGGGCGCGUAGGCGGCCCUCUAAGUCCCGUGUGAAAGCCCCCGGCUCAACCGGGGAACUGCACGGGAAACUGGAAGGCUUGAGUUCGGGAGAGGGAAGCGGAAUUCCGGGUGUAGCGGUGAAAUGCGUAGAUAUCCGGAGGAACACCGGUGGCGAAGGCGGCUUCCUGGACCGACACUGACGCUGAUGCGCGAAAGCUAGGGGAGCAAACGGG
rnacentral:rRNA from 1 species